GGAUCGAGUACUGAUGCCAGAUCCGGCAUACAUUUAAAAGACAAGAGGAAGUCAGGUGAGAGUCCUGCACAAUACCCGUUGCUGUAUUGGAGGAGCAGUGUUCCACCUCUGUGCGAACCGCACGGAAGCCACUGCGGGGCAAGUCCCUGUGGGAAGGCGGAGCACCUGCGUUGAUUCCUGAGUCAGAAUAUUCACUUUUAAAUGGAUCUGGUG
rnacentral:ncRNA from 2 species